AUGUUAUUUUCUCCGGAAUCUCUGAAUAUCUUUGAUGGAUUACAUUUGAACCCUGAUGACUGUGAGGUGUCAUG